rnacentral:snRNA from 1 species
CCUCCCGGGAAGUCCUCGUGUUG